rnacentral:rRNA from 1 species
GACAGAGGGGCAAGCGUUGCUCGGAAUUACUGGGCGUAAAGGGCGCGUAGGCGGGAUGGCAAGUCGGUCGUGAAAUCCCUCGGCUCAACCGAGGAACGUCGAUCGAUACUGCUGUUCUUGAGGAUUGGCAGAGGAGACUGGAAUUCCCGGUGUAGCGGUGAAAUGUGUGAGAGAGUCGGGAGGAACGACCGGGUGGCGAAGGCGGGGUCUCUGGGCAAUU